rnacentral:rRNA from 1 species
UACAGAGGUCCCAAGCGUUGUUCGGAUUCAUUGGGCGUAAAGGGUGCGUAGGCGGCGCGGUAAGUCGGGUGAUGAAAUCUCGGGGCUUAACUCCGAAACUGCAUUCGAUACUGCCGUGCGUUGAGGACUUGGAGAGGAGACUGGAAUUUACGGUGUAGCGGUGAAAUGCGUAGAUAUCGUAAGGAAGACCAGUGGCGAAGGCGGGUCU